rfam:Triticum aestivum genome assembly, contig: Triticum_aestivum_CS42_TGACv1_scaffold_031127_1BL
AAUAUACUCCCUCCGUCCGGAAAUACUUGUCGGAGGAAAGGAUGUAUCUAGACAUAUUUUAGUGUUAGAUAGAUCUAUUUUUAGUCAUUUCUACAACAAGUAUUUCCGGACGGAUGGAGUAUAAC